UGUGCGCCAGGGUCACUUGCUCUUUCUCUUCCAGGAUCGAGCGUUCCUUGCUGUCAAAGGUGUCCUUCAUGCGCUUCACUUGGCUCUCUAGUUGAGUGAGCAGCUGAGCCUUCUCCUGCCACUUUUUACUGGACUCGCUGAAACGACAAAGGAAUCGCGCGACAUUCUGUUGAAUGAAACAUGAGCAGGACAUCAAGCUGUGCGUUCUUAAGCUCUUUUUUGUUUGUUUGAUGGUGCAUAUACGACCACACGUUUCUUGUUUUGGACUCUCCAAAAAUGACCGGGGAAUGCAGUGCAUCGCAACCAUGGCUCGCCUUUCCCACAUGCGAGGGCAUUACAGUAAGUAUAUAGUAGAUAGUAGAUACUUUCCACAAAAAAUCUGCAAUGUAGCAGAACAACAACAUUGUUGUUUCUAGAGGGGCAGGCAGGCUUUCACAAACCUUUUAAGCAAUGCGCUCCCUUGACUUUCCAAUUGAGAGGGUGCACACGCCCCCC